GGCUGGUCCGAGUGUAGUGGUGUUUACAACUAAUUGAGCACAACCAGUUACAGAUUUCUUUGUUCUUUCUCCACUACACUGCCUCACUUGACUAGCCAAAA
ensembl:misc_RNA Y_RNA Y RNA